rnacentral:lncRNA from 1 species
CAACUGGAAGAUUUUUAUAAUCAAACAUGCUCCAUUGAAUGCCAUUCAAUCUUAUGAAAUCUGGAAAAAUGUAAAAAUCAGUUCAUUCGGUAUUGCUAAACCAGGCAAGCUCUAUUAAUCAACAUUUCUAUGCUUAUCAGCAUAAUGAUAAAGGAUAUUCAUUAAUAUUUUAAAAGAUAAUGUGCAGGAUUGUUUCCAUGUUGUGUGCCUUUUGUAUUCUAAUUCUUUGAACUUGCUAGACUCAAGAUAUAUAUGGCAAUUUGCUAUCAAGAGUAUAUUUGGUUAAUCAAAAACAAUUAGCUAUCUGUAGCUAAUGUUACCCAAUAUAACUAGCAGCUGUGGGUUUUUGUUGUUGUUUUUUAAUAUAAUAGUGUUUUCAUAGUCAUUCAUUAUCCUGUUUUUCAGAUAGUUUUGAUAUUUUAAUAAAUUUUCAGUGUGUCAAAUAACUUUAUUGCAAUGAAUUCAUUUCUCUCUCUGUCUCUCUUUUUUUUUAUUUUUUUGGACAUUGCAGGUGAAAGUAGAGAAGAAAAGUUAGGAGACUCAUUGCAAGAUUUAUACAGGGCACUGGAGCAGGCCAGUCUGUCACCACUAGGAGAACAUCGUAUUUCAACCAAGAUGGAAUACAAGCUAUCAUUUAUAAAAAGAUGUAAUGAUCCUGUAAUGAAUGAAAAACUACACAGGCUGAGAAUUCUCAAAAGCACUUUAAAGGCCAGAGAAGGGGAAGUAGCCAUUAUCGAUAAAGUCCUAGACAAUCCAGAUUUGACAUCUAAAGAAUUCCAACAAUGGAAGCAGAUGUACCUCGACCUUUUCUUGGAUAUCUGUCAAAAUACCACCUCAAAUGACCCACUGAGUAUUUCUUCUGAAGUAGAUGUAAUCACUUCCUCUCUAACACACACUCAUUCAUACAUUGAAACGCAUGUCUAAAUGUAUUCUGCCUUCAGGCCAUCUAGUACCUGCUGGUACUCUGAACACAUAUAUAAGGUAGUUUUUUAUAUCAAUGUGUGGAACACUUGACAAGCUAUACUUUAAUGUUACCAAACUAUAUGAAACAAACCAUAUAUGGUCACAAUACCACUAUCUUUAAUGAGCAUUUGUAUAUUUUAUAUGCAAUCAGUGCUCAGCUUAUGUUUACCAUGUGCAAAAUCAACUGUCUUUAAUGACUUAAAAUUAACUUUUGCAAACAAUUCUAAAUACAGGUGGUCUUCAAGUAGUAAAACCACAAAAGGCAGUUUUCUAUCUAUGGUCAUCUUUUCUCCCUUUAAGUUAAUUUUAUAUAAACAAGACUUCAAAAGUAAAUCACAUUUUUUCACGGUGCAGACAUCUUGUGGGGUGGAAGAAUUACCUUUUUUAUAUUUAUUAAAUGUUCUAAUUUUCUUAAACAUU